rfam:Drosophila ananassae strain TSC#14024-0371.13 Ctg01_19561, whole genome shotgun sequence.
AGCAUCAGUUUUCAAGAUGGUGGAACUGUCGCCCCGGUUUUCCUCCAAAAUCGGACGCCUCGGUGGCAACAUGUGUGGGGCGUCUG